CAGAUCAAGGGGAGAGAGGAAAAGAUCAGAUGGGGAGCAGGUUACCUGAAAAUGGAGAAUUCAACGCUCAUGCCAUUGGGUUGUAGACCACUCAGGCGGAAUAUGAGGUGAUGUUUCUCCAGUUUGUCUUUGGCCUCAGCCUGACAGUGGAGGAGGCCGAGGACACACAGGUCGGUGUGGGAAUGGGGAGGGCAAUUAUAAUGGCUGGCAACCAAGAGCUCCAGACGGCAUGGUGGAUGGAACAUACUGCUUGACCCGCUGAGUUCCUCCGGCAGAUUGUUUGCUGGCAAAGUUCAAUCUUUGCUCUUCCCCAACAUUUCAGUGACGUCUUGACAACCUCAGUCUUGUGUGAAGUUAACUGGAGUAGAUAUAGCAUGUCAGAGAGGCACUGUGGCCCACGUACAAUCCCUUCUGCUACAAGGCAAGGACUAGUGAACAGGACAAUCACCACUGGAGGCGGCAAGUGACAGUCGAAAUACGAUCAGGAACAUUAAUGGUGGAGAGGUGGAUGGACUUACAGAGGGAAUUUGAGAGUUGAAUUCGUGGCCACCAAGAGUAUAUCGCUCCUUCGCAGGGAUGAGAACUAAAUUCGCAAUAGAAUGCUACUUCUUCCAGCUGUUCAGUAGCUUUCUUGUUGUUGAGCACCGUAACUUGAGAAAUGCAUCUGUCAUCGACCUCUCAGCCACAGUGUUGUGUUACUGAAUCACUUCACUGCAGUUGAGCCUUGAUGAAAUCAGAGAGGAUCCAGUUUCAAGCUUCACUCUUGCCAGAGGAUGGUCCAAGGAGGAUCCUGUACCUGACAUCAAACAAUUUUUAAAAUGUUUCGCAAUCAGAGCUUGCACGUUUUUCAUUGACAAACCCUGUUCAGUGUGAGUAGAUGCCAUGGCCAAGAAAGCACACCAGUGCCUCUACUUCCUCAGAAGACUAAGGAAGUUUGACAUGUCUCUGGUAACCCUCAACAAUGUUUAUAAAUGCACCAUAGAAAGCAUCCUAUCCGGAUGCAUCGUGGCUUGGUACGGCAACUGCUCUGCCCAAGACCUCAAAAAACUGCAGAGAGUUGUGGACACACCUCAGCACAUCACAAAAGUCAGCCUCCCCUCCAUGGACUCCGUCUACACUUCCUGUUGCCUCGGGAAAGCAGCCGACAUAAAGACCCCUCCUACCUCGGAUGUUCUCUCUUCUCCCCCCUUCCAUCAGGCAGAAAAAAACACAAGCUUGAGAACAUGGACCACCGGUCUCAAGGGCAGCUUCUAUCCCGCUGUUAUAAGGCUCUUGAAUGGUCCUCUUGUACGUUAAAGAUGAACUCUUGAUCUCUCAGUUGACCUUGUCAUGGCCCUUGCACCAUAUUGUCUGCCUGCACUACACUGCUACUUUCUCUGUAACUGUAACACUAUAUUCUGCAUUCUGUUAUUGCUUUUCCCUUGUACUACGUCAAUGUACUUACAUUUGGAAUGAUCUGUCUGGAUGGCAUUCAAAAGAAAGUUUUUAAUAAUAAAGUUUACAAUAAUAAACCAAUUACCAAUUAAAUGGA